rnacentral:misc_RNA from 1 species
GAUGAAGAACGCAGCGAAAUGCGAUACUUGGUGUGAAUUGCAGAAUCCCGUGAACCAUAGAGUCUUUGAACGCAAGUUGCGCCCGAAGCCACUAGGCCGAGGGCACGCCUGCCUGGGCGUCACACGUCGUUGCCCCCCACCAUCUACUCCUUCGGGAUUGCGGGGGGCGGAUGAUGGCCUCCCGUGCGCCUAGCCGCGCGGUUGGCAUAAAUACCAAGUCCUCGGCGACGCACGCCACGACAAUCGGUGGUUGCGAAACCUCGGUUGCCCGUCGUGUGCGUUCGUCGCGCAUCGAGGGCUCGAAAAAAUGCUCGGCUCCGGCUCGGCUUUCAACGCGACCCCAGGUCAGGCGGGGUUACCCGCUGAAUUUAAGCAUAUCAAUAAGCGGAGGA